UACGUAGGGUGCAAGCGUUAAUCGGAAUUACUGGGCGUAAAGCGUGCGCAGGCGGUUUUGUAAAUCUGUCGUGAAAGCCCCGGGCUCAACCUGGGAAUUGCGAUGGAGACUGCAAGGCUUGAAUCUGGCAGAGGGGGGUAGAAUUCCACGUGUAGCAGUGAAAUGCGUAGAGAUGUGGAGGAACACCGAUGGCGAAGGCAGCCCCCUGGGUCAAGAUUGACGCUCAUGCACGAAAGCGUGGGGAGCAAACAGG
rnacentral:rRNA from 1 species